rnacentral:lncRNA from 1 species
UAAUUUUAUUUAUUUAUUUAUUUAUAUUUAUUCAUCUCUUUAAAACCUAAAACUCCUUAUAUUUUAUGCCAUUAUUAAAUUACAACAGAUAAAGUUUGAGAAUUAAAAUGUCACGUAGUUCAAAUUUAAGAACCAAAAAAUCUUAUUUAGCAAAAUCUCUCUUAUAUUGAUUUAAAAGGAUCAGCAUUGUGUCUCAUAAAAUAGGUCAGAUUGAACUGAAUCAAGAUCAAAUUACACGAGCGUUGCAUGUCUGUAUACUUUAAGCAAAUUAGUUGUCCCUUUUCUAACAGCUUGAAUUUUUUAAAUUAUUGCAGUAUCCAAUCUCGUAACAUUGUACAUCUGUACACUUUAAGUGAAUUUAUUGUUUUCUUUUGAACAGCUCGAGCUUUUAAAACUGUAGUUAGCGCUUACG